rnacentral:lncRNA from 1 species
ACACCCGUGUACUUAGAUUUAGGUGAACGUUAAAGAACCCCAGGUGGUCGAAAUUUCCGGAGUCCUCCACUACGGCGUGCCUCUUAAUCAGAAAGUGGUUUUGGCACGCAAAACCCCAUAA